AGAUUGAACGCUGGCGGCAGGCCUAACACAUGCAAGUCGAGCGGUAGAGAGGUGCUUGCACCUCUUGAGAGCGGCGGACGGGUGAGUAAUGCCUAGGAAUCUGCCUAGUGGUGGGGGAUAACGUUCGGAAACGGACGCUAAUACCGCAUACGUCCUACGGGAGAAAGCGGGGGACCUUCGGGCCUCGCGCCAUUAGAUGAGCCUAGGUCGGAUUAGCUAGUUGGUGAGGUAAUGGCUCACCAAGGCGACGAUCCGUAACUGGUCUGAGAGGAUGAUCAGUCACACUGGAACUGAGACACGGCCCAGACUCCUACGGGAGGCAGCAGUAGGGAAUAUUGGACAAUGGGCGAAAGCCUGAUCCAGCAAUGCCGCGUGAGUGAUGAAGGCCUUA
rnacentral:rRNA from 1 species